rnacentral:rRNA from 1 species
UACGGAGGGUGCGAGCGUUGUCCGGAAUCACUGGGCGUAAAGGGCGCGUAGGCGGCCUGAUAAGUAGGGGGUGAAAUCCUGCGGCUUAACCGCAGGGCUGCCUUCUAAACUGUCAGGCUAGAGCACAGUAGAGGCAGGUGGAAUUCCCGGUGUAGCGGUGGAAUGCAUAGAGAUCGGGAAGAACAUCAGUGGCGAAGGCGGCCUGCUGGGCUGUUGCUGACGCUGAGGCGCGACAGCGUGGGGAGCAAACAGG